rnacentral:tmRNA from 1 species
GGGGCUGAUUCUGGAUUCGACGGGAUUUGCGAAACCCAAGGUGCAUGCCGAGGGGCGGUUGGCCUCGUAAAAAGCCGCAAAAAAUAGUCGCAAACGACGAAAACUACGCUUUAGCAGCUUAAUAACCUGCUUAGAGCCCUCUCUCCCUAGCCUCCGCUCUUAGGACGGGGAUCAAGAGAGGUCAAACCCAAAAGAGAUCGCGUGGAAGUCCUGCCUGGGGUUGAAGCGUUAAAACUUAAUCAGGCUAGUUUGUUAGUGGCGUGUCCGUCCGCAGCUGGCAAGCGAAUGUAAAGACUGGCUAAGCAUGUAGUACCGAGGAUGUAGGAAUUUCGGACGCGGGUUCAACUCCCGCCAGCUCCACCA